UAAGCGGAGGAAAAGAAACCAACAGGGAUUGCCCUAGUAACGGCGAGUGAAGCGGCAAUAGCUCAAAUUUGAAAGCUGGCUUAUGGCCCGCAUUGUAAUUUGUAGAGGAUGCUUUUAGGCAGCCGCCGGUCUAAGUUCCUUGGAACAGGACGUCAUAGAGGGUGAGAAUCCCGUAUGUGACCGGCUCUGGCACCUUAUGUAAAGCUCCUUCGACGAGUCGAGUUGUUUGGGAAUGCAGCUCUAAAUGGGAGGUAAAUUUCUUCUAAAGCUAAAUACUGGCGAGAGACCGAUAGCGCACAAGUAGAGUGAUCGAAAGAUGAAAAGCACUUUGGAAAGAGAGUUAAAAAGCACGUGAAAUUGUUGAAAGGGAAGCGCUUGCAAUCAGACUUGGACUUGGCUGUUCAACAGGUCUUCUGACCUGCCUAUUCAGUCUUGUCCAGGCCAGCAUCAGUUUCGGCGGCCGGAUAAAGGCUCUGGGAAUGUGGCUUUCCCUUCGGGGGAAGUGUUAUAGCCCAGGGUGUAAUACGGCCAGCUGGGACUGAGGUCCGCGCUUCGGCUAGGAUGCUGGCGUAAUGGUUGUAAGCGGCCCGUCUUGAAACACGGACCAAGGAGUCUAACAUCUAUGCGAGUGUUAGGGUGUCAAACCCUUACGCGUAAUGAAAGUGAACGGAGGUGAGAACCCGCAAGGGUGCAUCAUCGACCGAUCCUGAUGUCUUCGGAUGGAUUUGAGUAAGAGCAUAGCUGUUGGGACCCGAAAGAUGGUGAACUAUGCCUGAAUAGGGUGAAGCCAGAGGAAACUCUGGUGGAGGCUCGCAGCGGUUCUGACGUGCAAAUCGAUCGUCAAAUUUGGGUAUAGGGGCGAAAGACUAAUCGAACCAUCUAGUAGCUGGUUCCUGC
rnacentral:rRNA from 1 species